rnacentral:lncRNA from 1 species
CAAAUUACACCUUGCCCACUUCCAUUUGCACAUAUUUCAAAUUUAGAAGACAUUUUCUCAUCUUCCUCACUGAUGCCUCUGUCCCCAUAAAAUGCACACUGAUCAAAGAAAUCAAUUCAGUAACAAGAAGAUACCAAAAUAUCACACUUACCAAAGGGCUCAAACAGUGAGAACUGUUUUAAUUAGGUUCCAAGAAUUCUUUUUUUGAACUUUGUUUUUUAAUAUUUGCUCACAACCCAAGAGUUUAAGGGCCAGAUCUUCCAAUGCAGCCUAGGACUGGCAGUAUCGUUCACGAGAUGGAAGAGAGAGGGAUUCUGUCUCAAGAGGGAGGCAAAGAAUGGAAGGCACUUGAAGUUAAGGGGCAUUUUGAAAUAGCCUGAGUGCUUCGGUCUCACGCUUACAGAAUGAGUUGUUGUUAGUCUCACCACAAAAUUAUUCUUUAGAUGAGGGCUGAGGUUUUGUUUGCUUUAACUCUGCUUCCUAUGUUAUGUAUAUAUUUAUGUAUAUAAAGACAAUAUAUAUAUUCAAACAGCUAUUUUUAAACAAGUAUAUCUAUAAAACUUAAGUAGCUGAUUCCCAACAAAGCCAAAGCCUUAAUUCUGUGAUGAACUCAUUAUCUUGCACUCAACCAGUAUGCAGUCUGUGGUUUUAUAUCAGAAAAAGGAUAUAGUACUUUUCUUAAUCCCCAACUUAUAUGAAAUCCUGUUGUUACAGCGUUCACUUCAACAAUAGGCCUUUGGAGCAAACAAAAUGCCUGGCUGUCAACUAGGUUGCUAUAAGGAAGGAACAGGACAUUGUUUACAUCACAAUGCAGCAUCAAUGAAGUUUGACAGAUCGAUCAUACAGAAAAAAAAAAAAAAAAAAGCCAGGAAGACUACCCGGCAUAAACUUCAAUUGCCUCCAUCCUCCUCAGCCAAAACUCCUUUUUACCUCUUCAACUUUUCAGGUAAAGCUGCAGGAUUAAAUCAAUUGCCUCAAAGGUAGAUUUUGUUUUUCUGUUACACUUGAACAUUGUUCUUCACAUGUAAUUUAUCAUGCAAGUUCAAAUGUGCUUUUUUUUU